rnacentral:lncRNA from 1 species
GGCAGCUCGUCCUCCCUUCUUAGUCUCUUUCUCUAGAAGAGAACGAUGACCAAGGCGGCUUUGUCCCCAUCCCUCCCCUCUCUUUCUCCUUUCUACUUCUCCCUCUCCCCCUUCUCCCUCUUCGUCCCCUUAGGUCCAGUGCACGUUAGGUCGGUACGAUACAAUACCAGUAUCAUACCAAACCGAUCAGUACGACCCCCAGUAUAUCGGUUUGGCGAACCUUUACUUCACCAAUUGAAUCAAUAGGCAUCUUGGACUAAAGAAUUUUGUUCUAAUACAGAGGUACCAUUAGAUUUGUACCAAAAAGAAAAGUAUCAGAUUAAGAGUCAACGGGUAGUGCUAAUUAUUAGGGUAAAUAACUAUCGAACAUAUCCUAUCCCACAGACCUGCCUUGACACCAACAUCAAGCCUACUGUUCAUUAGUUAAACUGAAAAUCUUAUCAGUGGUCCUAUGUAUACUACAAGUUUCAGCUCACUGGUUAGACUCAAUACCUUCGCCAUAUCUUAUCCAAGCCUUCCCAUUUCUCUGCUAUACUACCUCAUUUGCGAUCCCAUUUCUUUUUGGGGGGAAUUUAUUUGCAACUUCAACUCUAUCUUAUGGACCUAGUUUUAAGUAAAUACAACAAACUACAUUUUACUUUAUGCAUCAAAGAGGGAAAGUCUAAUGAACAGUAUUCUUUCUUUGUGAUUUGACCUUUCAC